AUUGAACGCUGGCGGCAUGCCUUACACAUGCAAGUCGAACGGCAGCAUGGAGAGCUUGCUCUCUGAUGGCGAGUGGCGAACGGGUGAGUAAUGCAUCGGAACGUACCGUGUAAUGGGGGAUAACGUAGCGAAAGUUACGCUAAUACCGCAUACGACCUGAGGGUGAAAGCAGGGGAUCGCAAGACCUUGCGUUAUACGAGCGGCCGAUGUCAGAUUAGCUAGUUGGUGAGGUAAAGGCUCAACAAGGCGACGAUCUGUAGCGGGUCUGAGAGGAUGAUCCGCCACACUGGGACUGAGACACGGCCCAGGCUCCUACGGGAGGCAGCAGUGGGGAAUUUUUGACAAUGGGGGCAACCCUGAUCCAUCCAUGCCGCGUGAGUGAAGAAGGCCUUCGGGUUGUAAAGCUCUUUCGGCCGGGAAGAAAUCGCACAGGCUAAUACUCUGUGUGGAUGACGGUACCGGCAUAAGAAGCACCGGCUAACUACGUGCCAGCCGCCGCCGUAA
rnacentral:rRNA from 1 species